UGUGCAAAGUUUGACCUUCUGUGCUUAGCUUAUUUGACUUACAAUGACCUCCGGUUCUAUCCAUGUUGUUGUAAAUGAUAGGAUCUCAUUCUUUUGUAGCUGAAUAAUACUCCAUUCUGUAUAUAUACCACAAUUUUCUAAAUCCAUUCAUCUUUUGAUGGACACUUAGGUUGCUUCCAAGUCUUGGCUGUCGUGGAUACUGCUGCAGAAAUCAUGGGAGUGCAAAUAUCUCUGGCAUACUGAUUUCCAGUCUUUUGGGUGAAUACCAAGCAAGUGGAAUACUGGAUCAUAAGUUCACAGACUCUCCAGGCCAUGGGGCCAUUGCUGAGCAUGUGGGAUGAAUGGUACUGGCAAUUCAAGACUGCCCUUCCUGCCUCACCAGUGCUUCCUUCAGUGAUAUGAAGUGAAAACCAGACACUGGGGUCACUCACCUGAUAUUUGGCUCCGUGAAGUUGCUUUUUUGUGUAGAUAAUUGUUAAAUUGGGUGUUCCUGCAGGGAGGACCCUUGGAGGAGGCUUCUAAUCUUGCAUCACUUCCCUCUUCUGUUACUCUUUUAUGAAUCUAGUAUUCUGACCUGUAUUUAAUUUUACUAAUAAUUUUUCAGAUAUCUGUAAUGUAUUUUAAAACAUUCUUAAUUUUGAUUAUUGUUUCUUUUUUCGGUAUCUAGAGUUCUUCACUUUGAAAUAAUGUUUUUUUUCCGAAAGUGUUCCAUUUUAUAUAUUUCUUUGAAAAUAUUCAAGAUAAUUAUAUGAAAGUCAUUGUGUAACUCCAUUUUCUGAAAAACAGGAUAUUAUUUUAAAGGCAUUGUACAACUUAAUUAGCUAAAUGCUUUGUGUAUCUGAUUUUAGUAUUAAUAUUUAACUUAAUUAAAAAUGAUAAUUUGUUUUUUCCCAUGUGCUUAAUCAUUUUAGGCUUAGUAAUAUAAAUUCGAUACAAUUAAGCCUAGUAUUAUAUCUUCCUUCAAAGGCAAGCCUAUGUAUGGUAACUAAAAACCUUCCAUCAACAUAAUCUAAUUAUAGGAAGCAAGAUAACUUUAAGUUGGAGUUAAUUACGCGGUGAAAGCCAGACCAUUUUC
rnacentral:lncRNA from 1 species